GAGAUCUAGGAAUUAGCGAAGCUAAAAGAUUAAAGAUAGAUCCCACCGCGGAUAUCGAACAGCACUAUAAGACUGACACUGAAACUGUUGUUCCAGCAGCUCCCGUUAAUCCCUUUUUAGCAAUGAAUCGUGAAGAUCGCCUUGCACAGGAGAGAGCGUUGCAAAGGUUUGAACACAACCGCCGUCGUCGUCGCCGACACUAAUUUUCAGAUUACCUUUAUUAUCAGUUAAUACUGUGUAGUGUGUAUAUUAUGUCUAUUUUAAGUUGAACCAAAUUUUAUUAUGA